CCACCUAAAAUACAAAGAGAUCAAAAGUUAAUGUUUAUAUGCCAUGUCUUACAAACCAGACAUGUAUCUGAUUUUAGGGCAAAUUAAUUCCAUGAACCUCUCAAAACUGCCUCUACUUGAAGUCUGUCCCCUUCAUUAUAACUAGACAUUUAAAAUAAUGAUAAGGACCGCAAACCACACCAGAAAUUCAGAAGUGUGGUGGUGACUGCAAACGCCUGCCUUUACCAACAAGAGAAACAGUCAAGUGCAAUCACUGGAUAAAUACUUUAAAACAUACACAAUA
rnacentral:lncRNA from 1 species